UUUGCACGCCGUCUUGGACGUUUCCUCCCUAAACUUGGCGGUGCCUUCGGGCGCCGCUUUUUUUUGCCGUAU
rnacentral:sRNA from 1 species